rnacentral:rRNA from 1 species
AUUGAACGCUGGCGGCAGGCCUAACACAUGCAAGUCGAGCGAGCGGCGGACGGGUGAGUAAUGUAUGGGGACUGCCCGAUAGAGGGGGAUAACUACUGGAAACGGUGGCUAAUACCGCAUACUAUCGGAUAACCCAUAUGGGAUUAGCUAGUAGGUGGGGUAAAGGCUCACCUAGGCGACGAUCUCUAGCUGGUCUGAGAGGAUGAUCAGCCAAACUGGGAUGGAGACACGUCCAGGACUCCUAGGGAGGCAGCGGGGGGGAAUUUUGAACAAGGGGCGAAAGCCGGAUGCGGCAAUGCCGGGGGUAUGAGGAGGGCCUUAGGGUUGAAAAGUACUUUCAGCGGGAAGGCGUUACCCGCAGAAGAAGCACCGGCUACCUCCGUGCCAGCAGCCGCGGUAAAC